GAUCCUGGCUCAGGAUGAACGCUAGCUACAGGCUUAACACAUGCAAGUCGAGGGGCAUCAGUUUGGUUUGCUUGCAAACCAAAGCUGGCGACCGGCGCACGGGUGAGUAACACGUAUCCAACCUGCCUCAUACUCGGGGAUAGCCUUUCGUAAGAAAGAUUAAUAUCCGAUAGCAUGUAUUUCCCGCAUGGGCUUUUAUAUUAAAGAAAUUCGGUAUGAGAUGGGGAUGCGUUCCAUUAG
rnacentral:rRNA from 1 species